rnacentral:lncRNA from 1 species
UUUUUUUAAAAGUUCAGAUUUGUUUGCUUUAUAUUAAAAGUGAUGCUCAUUUGUAAACACUGAAUAAGUUAUCGGGGGAAAAAAUUACACUUGUAUCAUCAUGGGCUAUUUGACGGCCAGUAUCUAACAUUCAGCAGGUUUGCUAAGGACUCUUCUCACUCCAGCAUCCAGAUCUCUGUGUCUCCAUACCUUCUCAGAGACCCUACAAGUUACAUAAUUACUGCCCACGCUGGGGUUGGGGCCACCUGGGGGCAGGGAACAGUGCUGUGACUCAGAGGGAAGCUAGAAAGGGUGGCUUUUUCAGCUCUUGCCAGAGAUGACCCAAACAUUUUUUUUGAGACAGUCGCGCUCUGUCGCCUAGACUGGAGUACAAUGGCAUGAUCUGGGUUCACUGCAACCUCUCUCUCCCGAGUUCAAGUGAUUCUCCUGCGUCAGCCUCCUGAGUAGCUGGGAUUACAGGCGCCUGCCACCAGGCCCAGCUAAUUUUCAUAUUUUUAGUAGAGAUGGGGUUUCACCAUGUUGGCCAGGCUGGUCUCAAACUCCUGACCUCAGGUGAUCUGCCCGCCUCGGCCUCCCAAAGUGCUGGGAUUACAGGAACAAGCCACCUCGCCCAGCCCAUUUGUUUAUAAUUUGAUGGGAACUAAAACCAUUAAACCUGGCCUCUGACAACUAUGGUCCUCCAUUUUUAAAAAAACAUAUAUUGCUUUGAGCAAAAACAGCACAAUAGAAUUGAAAACACUCCAGACAUCAUUUCCCUUCUCUGGGCUCCAGUUACCGAGCAUCCGAUGCCCUGGGUAUCACACCAGACACUGCAAAUUAGGAUAAUCCCAAACUGGUGAAAGCUCAUCAUUCACUAGCACUGCCCUGGGCUGAUGUGGUCCUGUGCACUGCCCUCCAGGGAAGUUAGUCUAGGUGGGAAAAGACAAGCAAAUAGGUGCAGGGACCAUGUUGUCAAUGCUAUGGUUGCUACAAGCCUGGAUUUCUGCAUAAGAGGAAAGGAAUCCUUAGAGGGUGACAAAGAAAGGCUAGAAAAAUGGCAUCAAGGCCUCCUGUCACCCUGUUAAGUAAAAAGGGGUAACGUGGGGGGAUUAAGUAUGGAAAUAGCUUUACCAUGGAGUGGGCCCCUUCUCUUAGACUGGAAUGCUUCCCAAAUACUGAUGUGCACAGGAAUCGCGGCAGCGUGUUAAAAUGUAGAUUCUGCUUCGGUAGGACUGAGGGAGCUCAUUCUAGAUUUCUAACCAGCUCCCAGAUGUGGUUUGUGCCGCCAGCCAGGGUUGGGUGGAAAGCAAUGGAGGGGUGGUGGGUGGGGAGAGGCAGCAGGAGGAAGCAUGUGCAGUGAGAGGUUCAGUGCAGGGGAGGCGCAGUGUGCUGGCAUUAAGGACAGCAGCAGUGGGAACACAGGUCAAAUGAAGGAAGGGGCUGUACUGUCUCCCCCAUCUCGAACAGUGAGCUUCUAUGGCAGGGACUGAAUCUUGGUCAUCUCUCCAUCCUUGACUGUGCCCAGGAAAUCUCAGUAAACAGCCUUGCAGAGGUUCAGUCUCUCCUCAAAGAGUAACACUGGUCUUGCUUUCUAGUAGGACAAACCUGGAGGGCGAGUAUUCCCUGAAGGACAUUUUCCUCUUCUCCCAAACCUGGGCCUGCAAGCCCCAAUUCCACCCUGAUCUUGGCACCCAUGGGUAACCUCAUGCUCUUGACAAACACACAGUCUUAUUCUGGCCAGAGCCUGCUCCCAGCCUCCCAGCCCUCUUGCAUUGCCUAGAGAUGGACACACGAGAAAGGUACGGUCCAAAGUGCACUGUUUUCCUCACGCCCCUGCAACCAGUUGAGGCAGAGCUGUAACCCACUGCAGCCUCAGUCCGGUCCCUUCUACCUGCUGGCUUUGUCUCCUCCAUAAGCCUGAGAGGACCUCCCUCUCGAGCUAAAUGACCCCUCUGUGUGGAGAGAGGCCAGCUGUCCUUUCUAGUCAUAAAGACUGGGCUGUAUGCUGAGAUUGUCAUUCCUCUUUUUUUUUAAUGUUAGAUUCCCUUUCUUGUAUGAAAUGACAGCAGGCAAUUGUGCUGAUUGAGAAUGACUUUGACAAAAUAAGGAGUUGGAAAUCAUGUUAAUCUCCAGUGCCCUGAGCGCUUUCGCUAAUGGGUGCACGAAAUCCAAGCGCCUGGGUACCGCCCCUGGGAAUGGGCACCAGCAUUCUCCUCUUCCCUCCCAGCCCCCAACUCCCUCCCUGGGGACAAUGACCUGCAUUUCUGGGUCUGCCCCUUCUGCAAAUGCUUCCUUCUGAAUCAUCCAAAAACACGCCUUUGUGAACUAGAGAUGGAAGAUCUCCUUGUCCCACCUAAACAUGUUAAGUUUAAAAUAAAAUGGUGCAGGUUUCCAGGGUCCAGAUGCUCAAAGACACUUUGCAGUUUCGCUUCAAGUUCAUUACAUUUAAUUUUUUUCCAAAAAAGUUUUGCAUUGACAGCUGUACAAUACUUUGGUGUUAACCUGUGGUCUUCCUUCCCCUCAGUGAACUCUGCCCUGUCCAUCUGUCCAGAGGAAGUCUUAGCUCCUACCCCACACCCUCUCUGGCGCUUGGAUGGGAGGUGACGCAGUGUGGGAUUGUGAAACCCCCGCUGCGCUGUUGGGUAUCUGGGGGGCGGGGGGAGCAGCGCGUGGGAAUGCUGUGAGAUAAGAAGAGCUCACAUGGACGGGAAAUGGCCCAGGCUCCAGAAUGUGAGAGCGACACUGGCCUGGCUGUUUUCCUGCGGGGGGGACUGACAAACUGGGGGUUGAGGCAAUUAAGACGCAACAAUCAAACCAACCUUUAAAUAGUAACUUUUAAAAAUAUAAAAACAGUUCAGUACAAUGACUUUUCAUUCUUUUUUUCUUCAGGAAUAACUUUCUUCUACCCUCACCCUCCCUUCUGGCUAGAGCCUUAGCAAGAGGUGGCAGACGGACAUCUGAGGCCCAGAGAGACUCCGGAUGCCCCAUGCGCCCAGCCUUGGAGAGGCACAGGGUGUGGCGCCAGCCUCCACAUCCCAUGCCCGGUGCGCUCAGCUGGGGAGCAACCUCACUGAAGGUGGGUGGCGUUCCCUGGAGCCCCUCCCUCCUCCUCAGCAGACGGAAUCACGCAUUACAAAAUAAUCCAUAAAAAUGCGGUAUAAAAAUUAUCUUCGAUAUGCUACAUCCAUGGAGAGCCCGCCACCAGGACUCACAGCGGCCUUUAGCUUUUCUUUAAAAGAAGAAUAAGAAAAAAAGACCAAAAGGAAAAGAAACAAAAAAACAACCCAAAUCCUAACACCUCAGAACAUGGUACCGAAAGGUGGCACCUGCCAGAGGCGAUAGUCUACCUAACCUGUUUGGGCCACGAGAGACUGCAAUCUGCAAGAAAUAUCCACAGUGUGCCAGAUCUGUGUCCCCCUCUCCCAGCCCCCAACCCCCACUGCCCUGCCCAGGGCGGAGGUGAGGGAGAUCCUCCUUUCAGACUCACAACCCUGUAGGUUUAAACACUUUCCCCCCUCUAAGGGGAGAGGAAGAGGCUGUAGGCAGGAAGGGGGAGAAGGCAUUUUAUAAAAGGACAUCACUUCUAAUUCUUUUUAUUCAAAUUAAAAAAAAAAAAAAAAAGCACCCACAUCAGUUGCUAUUUUUCUCUGGUAGCUCCCUGAGCUGAGUUGCUAUGCUGUCUUCUAACUUUUUGUCCUUUUUAGGCUGUGUCCCAAGAUUCAGAAGAGCUGGAGAGGGAGUUCCUUUGAACUUCCAUUGCUCAUAACAAUAACUAAGUGUGCACCAAAGAGAAAGACCAGGCUGAGGAGGAGAGAGGGAAAGACCAAGAAAGAGAGACACAGAGAGGGCAAGAGGCAGCCAGAGUGCAAGAGACCACAGAAAGCUCUGUUUCUGCAGGCGUCUGCCCGAACAGGCCCCCAUCUCAGUGCCUUCCAUCCCUCAGUCUGGCCGGCUGGUGCUCAGUCCAGAUGCCCAGACCCGUGUGGACGGACAGGCAUUCCAGCAGGUACCUUGCGGCCAACCUGGUUGCCUUUUCCACAAUCUAAGACUUUUCUCCUUAUUCUUCAAUUGGUUCCUCUCCCUGUCUCCUCUUCCCAGGUGAGAACAUCUGUUUAUUUAAAAAAAAAAAAAAAAA